rnacentral:rRNA from 1 species
ACGCUGGCGGCGUGCCUAACACAUGCAAGUCGAGCGAAGUGAUUUCAGAUGAGAUCUUCGGAAGGAUUCUGAAAUCAUCUUAGCGGCGGACGGGUGAGUAACGCGUGAGAAACCUGCCUUUCACAAAGGGAUAGCCUCGGGAAACUGGGAUUAAUACCAUAUGACACUUGCACCUCGCAUGAGGAGCAAGUUAAAGCGUAAAGCGGUGAAAGAUGGUCUCGCGUCCUAUUAGCUAGUUGGUGAGGUAACGGCUCACCAAGGCGAUGAUAGGUAGCCGGCCUGAGAGGGUGAACGGCCACACUGGAACUGAGACACGGUCCAGACUCCUACGGGAGGCAGCAGUGGGGAAUAUUGCACAAUGGAGGAAACUCUGAUGCAGCGACGCCGCGUGAAUGAUGAAGGCCUUCGGGUCGUAAAAUUCUGUCCUUGGGGAAGAUAAUGACGGUACCCAAGGAGGAAGCCCCGGCUAACUACGUGCCAGCCGCCGC